GACGAACGCUGGCGGCGUGCUUAACACAUGCAAGUCGAACGAAGUGGCGAACGGGUGAGUAAUACGUGGGAAACCUGCUCUCCUUUUUGGGAUAAGCCUUGAAAACGGGGUCUAAUACCGAAUACAGGGGGAUGGGCUCGCGGCCUAUAAGCUUGUUGGUGGGGUGUUGGCUUACCAAGGAGGUGACGGGUAGCCGGCCUGAGAGGGUGCCCGGCCACAGUGGGACUGCGGUUCUGCCCGGACGCCUACGUGAGGCCGCAUUGUGGGAUAUUGCACAAUGGGUGAAAGACUGAUGCAGCGACGCCGCGUGGGGGAUGAAGGCUUUCGUGUUGUAAACCUUUUUCGCGUGCGAACGGGUAGGUGGAGAAGAAGCGCCGGCUAACUUCGUGCCAGCAGCCGCGGUAAUAC
rnacentral:rRNA from 1 species